GUAUUAUAAAACCCUUGACAAUAAAAUACGGGAUAGAAAAGCAGGAAACAAUUUCACUACCAAUCACUUACAUAAACCAACGAAGUUACAAACGAAUGCCUAUAGCCAAAAGUCAACAAAAGACCGGCUCUUAAAAAGGAAUUGUCCUAUGACCUACAAGUCGGACACGUUCUCCAAUCUUAUGCCUUCACCUCUGCAACUCCUCAAGGCCAACCAAAGCUAUCUGGCCACUCCGUCCAUCAGGGACCUGAAAUUUUAAUCCCACAACCGGGAUGAGACGAUGUCUCAGCAAGUUCAACCCCCUAAACCCCUAUUAGAAAGAAAAUACGCCCAAGGGUGGCCUAGCCACAUCACACAGAAAACUUACCUCGCCUCAAUUCUUCCCUGCAGGUUAGCACAAUUCAAAUCGCUCAAUCACAGAUAGUAAUAGGAACUUAAACAACCAAAACGCAUUCACUUUCAUAUAACCAACAACCAUGGGGGUUUUGAUUAUAAGACUAAAUUGUUAUGACACGUCCCAUUCCAUGCCGCACAAUUCCGUCCCAUAAUCCGACCCAUCAACAACACUCAACAUGCAUUCCAAUUGUCAUUCACGGCCAAACAAGGGCAUAGCUUACUCGCAGUUCAGCUAUCUACUGGCAUAUAACCAGGCAUCGCCUCCCCACCUUGGAGCGCGGCUUCGUCAGUACCUCGACGGCAUUCCCAAAGGAGCAUGGGUCCAGUCGGCCUAGCCACUACUGCGACCCGAGCCACGUCACUCUCCCUUGACGACAUUUCUAGAAGAACAAAGGUCCAGUCGGCCUAGCCACUACUGCGACCCGAGCCACGUCACUCUCCCUUGACGGCAUUUCUAGAAGAAUAAAGGUCCAGUCGGCCUAGCCACUACUGCGACCCGAGCCACAUCACUCUCCCUUGACGGCAUUUCUAGAAGAACAAAGGUCCAGUCGGCCUAGCCACUACUGCGACCCGAGUCUUUCAACCAGCACACAACAAUUCAAUAAUUAAUUGCACAAAUCAUCACUCAAUUUGUAAUAUCUAAUCAUCAAAUUCAUAAUCUGAAUACACAGCAGCGAUCAGCACAAAAUUCUGAGAAUUUAGGGUCCCAACUUAAUUUUCGGAAUUUAUUUAAUAAUUAAAUUUAUUUCGAAAAUUAAUUAAAUAAUAAUAUCCCUAUCUUUCACAAUCCACACUCGAUUUAUAAUAUCCAAUCAUCAAUUUCAAAAUCUGACUACACAGCAGCGCCCGGUACGAAAUUCUGAGAAUUUAGGGUCUUGACAAAAUUUUCGGAAUUUAAUAAAUAAUUAAAUUUAUUCCGAAAAAAAUUAAAUAAUAAUAUUUUAUUAAUUUCGAAUAAAAUAUAUUAUUAAAUUAUAUAAUAAUUUCGAGACAUUUAAAUAAAUCAAAAGUAAAUUCAUUUAAGUCAAAUCAAGGCUUAUUUUAAAUAAACCCACUUACCCUUAAUUAAGCACACUUUAAAUUAAACCACAACCUUAAUCAAAUCUACUCUUAAUUAACCUAAACUAACAACCUAAUAACACUUAACAUAAACUAAACCUCCCUAAGCAUAAUUAACCCUCUAAGCGAGGUUUAGUGAGUUAAACUCACCGGAUUAGCGAGCCGAGCGGACCAAAACGACGGGGACGCCGAGGAGAACAACUUUCCUCAAAGUGGGCCGAGCAUCCGGGCUCGGGAAGGCGGCCAAAAUGGGCCAAACGUCCGCUGCAUACCCAUUUUUUUUCAACUGCUGUCCAUGGCGGUUUGAGGCCGAGGAAGGGUAGAUCCGGCGCCGGUUCGGGUCGGAAAGGGUGGAGGAGCUACGGCGGUGGCUAGCGGCGACGAACGAGCUCCGGCAGCUCUUGCGCGAGCUGAACAGUAGCUCGGGACGACGAGCUGGGCGAAGUGGGCGGAGCGGCGCGCGGCCAGGCGCGGGCGAGCGCGAGGCAAACGCGCGCGACGGCGGCGAUGGGCGAACGACGAGACCUCCGGCUGGCGUGCAGCUUCGGACGGAACUUCUCUGGUUGCUGCUGGGUCUCGAAGCAUUCAAGGGAGAUGGAGAAGAGAGAUCGCAAUGGGAGAGGAAGGGGAAGACGGAGGGCGACGGCCAAGGCGAAACGGCGACGGUGCGUGGCGGCAGUGAACGGCGAAGGCAUGCGGCUUCUCCAGCUUGCUGGUUGCUGGGUUUUCAAAGAAGAAGGAGAUGAAGAAGAUGGAGAUGGAGGAGUCGCAC
rnacentral:lncRNA from 1 species